ensembl:lncRNA
GUUUAGGGGGGGCAAUACAGUGGGGUCCUAUGGGGUUUGGGGGGUCCUAUUGGAUUUGGGGGGACAAUACAGUGGGGUCCUAUGGGGAUGGGGGGGGCCUAUGGGGUUUUGGAGGGGGUCCUAUGGGGUCUGGGGGUGUUAUAUGGGGUUUUGGGGGGUCCUAUGGGGCUGUGGGGGGAGUCCUAUGGGGUUUGGGGGGCCAUACAGUGGGGUCCUAUGGGGUUUGGGUGGGUCCUAUGGGGCUGUGGGGGGGUCCUAUGGGGCUGUGGGGAGUCCUAUAGAGUUUGGGGGAGCAAUACAGUGGGGUCCUAUGGGGAUAGGGAGGUCCUAUGAGGUUUGGAGGAGUUAUAUGGGGUUUUGGGGGGUCCUAUGGGGCUCUGGGUUCCUAUGGGGUUGGGGGGGGGCAAUACAGUGGGGUAUUAUGGGGUCCGGGGUGGUCCUAUGGGGCUGUGGGGUCCUAUGGGGUUGGCGGGGGCAAUACAGUUGGGUCCUAUGGGGAUGGGGGGGUCUUAUGGGGUUUGGGAGGGUUAUACGGGGUUUUGGGGGGUCAUAUGGGGCUCUGGGGUCCUAUGGGGUUUGGGGGGGUCCUAUGGGGUUUUGAGGGGGUCAUUUGGGGGGGGGCAGGGACAGCCCCCCCACGUCGAAAGUGGGGCUCUGAGCCUGGAGCCGCGUGGCCUGCAGGGCUAUGGGGUGGGGGGCUACAC